AGAAUGAACGUUGGCGGCGUGGAUUAGGCAUGCAAGUCGAACGGGCCUGGUAGCAAUAUCAGGUCAGUGGCGUAAGGGUGAGUAAGGCGACGGCAACCAACCCCAUGGUUGGGCAUAGCCGCGGGAAACUGCGGGUAAUUCCCAGCGAUGUUCAUACCGGGCAUCCGGUGUGAACCAAAGUUCUGGCGCCGUGGGACGGGCCGUCGUGGUAUUAGGUAGUUGGCGGGGUAAUGGCCCACCAAGCCUCUGAUGCCUACCGGGCGUGCGAGCGUGGCCCGGCACACUGGGACUGAGACACUGCCCAGACUCCUACGGGAGGCUGCAGUCGAGAAUCUUCGGCAAUGGGCGCAAGCCUGACCGAGCGACGCCGCGUGGAGGAUGAAGGCCUUCGGGUUGUAAACUCCUGUCGGAGGGGGAGGAAGGGGUAACCUUGACCUAUCCCUGGAGGAGCGACGGGCUAAGUUCGCGCCAGCAGCCGC
rnacentral:rRNA from 1 species